rnacentral:rRNA from 1 species
GUGUCAGCAGCCGCGGUAAUACAGAGGUCCCGAGCGUUGUUCGGAUUCACUGGGCGUAAAGGGUGCGUAGGUGGUGAGGUAAGUCGGAUGUGAAAUCUCCAAGCUUAACUUGGAAACUGCAUUGGAAACUACCUUGCUUGAGGGUUUGAGGGGGGACUGGAAUUCUCGGUGUAGCAGUGAAAUGCGUAGAUAUCGAGAGGAACACCGGUGGCGAAGGCGAGUCCCUGGAAAACACCUGACACUGAGGCACGAAAGCUAGGGGAGCAAACAGGAUUAGAUACCCUGGUAGUCC